UACUGAGACAGGUGGUGCAUGGUUGUCGUCAGCUCGUGUCGUGAGAUGUUGGGUUAAGUCCCGUAACGAGCGCAACCCCUGUCCUUAUUUACCAGCACGUAAUGGUGGGCACUCUAAGGAAACUGCCGGUGACAAACCGGAGGAAGGUGGGGAUGACGUCAAGUCAUCAUGGCCCUUACGGCCAGGGCUACACACGUGCUACAAUGGUUGGUACAACGGGCUGCCAAGUCGCGAGACGGAGCUAAUCCCAUAAAACCAAUCGUAGUCCGGAUCGCAGUCUGCAACUCGACUGCGUGAAGUCGGAAUCGCUAGUAAUCGUGGAUCAGAACGCCGCGGUGAAUACGUUCCCGGGCCUUGUACACACCGCCCGUCACACCAUGGGAGUGGGUUGCACCAGAAGUAGCUAGUCUAACCUUCGGGAGGACGGUUACCACGGUGUGAUUCAUGACUGGGGUGAAGUCGUAACAAGGUAGCCGUAGGGGAACCUGCGGCUGGAUCACCUCCUUA
rnacentral:rRNA from 1 species